rnacentral:misc_RNA from 1 species
AGCACCAGAAUCAAUGACCCAUUUAGAGGAGACAAGGCAUAUAGUACAUUUACGUGACUCAGCUAUUGUAGUGACUGGGGAAUUAGAGGACUUUAGAGGCCUGAUACUGUGAGAACUGUGCAUAUUCUUCAGCAGAUACUAAAACUGUUUCUCAGAAGGAGCUAUUGAAGAGUCAUCAACUACUAUGUUGGCCAUCCGAGAUCAUGGGUUCUUAUUCUGAAGUUUCAGACAAUAUCUUCUUGUAUGACCUGGCUUAUGGCAAUAAUAUCUUCCCUCAUCCAAGUUUGCUUUGUAUCAUCAGUAGGUGGAUCUUGGGUGAGAUGAUCAUCAUUGUCGAUACUCCGCAAAUAAACCCGAGCAGUCUUACUCCAUUCCAAAUAAUUAGAACCAUUAAGUUUGUGUUCCAUGAUUUUAGUCAUCAUAGGAAUCACAUCAGUUACUACACUUUUGCUUUGCAGCCAUUUUAAAAAGAGACGUUGAGCAACAAGCCAAAAAAAAAUAAAAAAAAUUCACGGCAGCAAGUCACAGAAAUCUCUUACCCAAACUAAUAGGCACACCUCUAUAGACAGCGAAAACGCCUUAAGACACAAUUUUAAAGUAGAUGAGUGUAACAAAAGCAAGAGAUAUACUUGGCAGUAGGUGGACCAAGACAAAUCA